AUCCAGCUGACGAGUUUCAAAUUGGACUAAACGCACGUCCUGGAU
rnacentral:hammerhead_ribozyme from 2 species